rnacentral:rRNA from 1 species
UCUCGGGAAACUGAGGCUAAUGCUCGAUAGGUCAAGAUUCCUGGAAUGGGUUUUGGUCUAAAUGGAGUAGCAGCAUCUUGUUAUUUCCGCCCGAGGAUGGGACUGCGGCCGAUCAGGCUGUUGGUGGGGUAAAGGCCCACCAAACCUUUUACCGGUACGGGCUUUGAGAGAAGGAGCCCGGAGAUGGACACUGAGACAAGGGUCCAGGUCCUACGGGGCGCAGCAGGCGCGAAACCUUCGCAAUGCGCGAAAGCGCGACGAGGUUAUUCCGAGUGAUUUCCGCUGAGGAAAUCUUUUCUCAGAUCUAAAACGUCUGGGGAAUAAGGGGAGGGCAAGUCUGGUGUCAGCCGCCGCGGUAAUACCAGCUCCUCGAGUGGUCAGGGCGUUUAUUGGGCCUAAAGCAUCCGUAGCCUGCUCCGUAGGUCUCCUGUUAAAUCCAACGGCUCAACCGUUGGUCUGCAGGAGAUACCGCUGGGCUAGGAGGCGGGAGAGGCGGACGGUACUCCGAGGGUAGGGGUAUAAUCCUUUGAUCCCCGGAAUA